rnacentral:lncRNA from 1 species
UUGUUCAUUUCUUCUAUUCUUCUCUCUAUACGUUGGUGUUCUAACCAAUAAUCACCAAAGCGAUGUUCUGUCCGAUUGAUUCAGGAACCAUCUAACGAAUGCCAAAGUGUUGUACUUUGUGAAUUUCGUUAAACGGAAUCCAAAGUACUAUACUUUGUGAGUUCAUUAAAUGGAUACCAAAGUACUGUCUGAAUAAGACUAUACUUUGUGAAAUUCGUUAAGGUUCGAAUCUCGUGAUCAUCGUUAGGUUUGAUAUGGUUUUACACAAAUACAUAUUCCAUUCUGUUAAACUAUAUGUUUAACCAUCCGAAUACUCCCAACUAUACACUUAUAAUCAAAAUGGAUGCUUAAUCAUCAGAAGAUCCAAAAUAAUAAAGUAUAUGCUUAAUUAUCAGAAGGAGUAGAAUCAAGAAGCUUGUUAAAUCAAUACUGCAUGCUUAUACUGUGGGCGAGCCUAAAAUUUGUGAUACUCGUCACUAUUGGGUGACAGGACCCAAUAGUGGUAUGACCAUAGUCACAGAUCCAGUCGAGUGACAAAUACUGUGGGUAAUUGGUUGAUAGAAACAUUGUAAUCUCCCUUAAUACUGUAAAUUAUAACAACGUGUCAUUAAAAUGAAUGAUUCACUCAGUAUUUCCCUGCUGACAAAACAUUUUUAAAACGCGUUUCAGGUAAUUACAGUAGAUUGGAGUAAAAGUUGGAUACGGCACCAACAAGACUUACAGAAGUGGCUCAUUUU